rnacentral:rRNA from 1 species
GAUCAUGGCUCAGGAUGAACGCUGGCGGCGUGCUUAACACAUGCAAGUCGAACGGGAAAUGCUUCAUUGAGGCUUCGGCGGAUUUGAUUCAUUUCUAGUGGCGGACGGGUGAGUAACGCGUGGGUAACCUGCCUUGUACUGGGGGAUAACAGCCAGAAAUGGCUGCUAAUACCGCAUAAGCGCACGGAGGCGCAUGCCUCUGUGUGAAAAACUCCGGUGGUAUAAGAUGGACCCG